rnacentral:lncRNA from 1 species
UUUUUGUCCAACCAAAUGUCCACAAGACUGCCGCUAUAACAUUAAUGUUUAUUAUGUUUUUUGUUGUUGUUGCUUUUGCUCUUGCACAUGGAUUUAGCAUAUGCUUCCAGCAUCUCUUUGCCAAUGAUCAAAUAAACCUCUUCCAUAGUUCUUGGGCUUUUUGGCACUGAAGGAAGAUAUAUGAUUUAUAUCUUCACUAGCUUUUUUGCAGUACGUGCACCAAUUUGGGUUCAGGUAUGAAUUUGGGUUUCUUUUCUGCAUCAUAUCCAUGGUGUUGAUAUGCUCAUACAAGAUUGUCCAAAUAAAAAACCUACAUUUCAUGGGGAUGUAAGCUCCCCAUAGGUUUUUUAGAAGAGGCUGGUGGAUAUUUGUAGGCAUCCUGUUUGUUUCUUCAAACAGCGCUAACUUUACCAAGGCAAUGGUGAAAAAACAGCUUCCAUUUAAGUUCCAAAUAGGCUUACUUGGAUCUCCAUUUACAUUUAUAUAGGCGGAAGGGAAGCUUUAAUAGAAAGCCAUAUGUCCUGCUCUCUCUCGUUCGACUGUCUUCUCGGUUCCAUGUUCCAAUUACAACAAGUGCUAUCCCAAACUUCUUUUAUGGUUGCAUUCUGAUUCUUUCAUAAUGCGAAGAGCCUUGGAAAUUUUCUUGAUAAGGGAGGGUCACUACUCCAAGUGGUUUACCAGAAAGACAAAUUGACGCCAUUAUUGAUUCUCCAUUUGAAUUUUGUUUCGAACCAGUCCUUUACCCUUAGGAUGGCUCUCCAUGGUGCUUUUGUGGUACUAUGUUUUUCUUCUCGAGGGUAUUCACCAGGGAUAGUUUUUUGUAUACUUGGCGUCUACCAUCUUUUUUCACAGAGAGUUUUCUUCCAUAUGAUAAAGUCAAAGUCAUUUACAUAGUAAAGCGAAAUUUGUAUCUUUUACCUUUGUGAGUCCAAGUCCUCCAAGAUGCUUUGGUGCUGUGCAGAUGGACCAGUUAACAAAGUGUGAGUUGGAUUAAUUAUUGUUUCCUUUACAUAGGUAAUUUCUCCAGAGUUUUUCUAUUUCUUUGUAGAAGCGGUUCUACCAUGGGGUUUUCCAUUGAUAAUAACUUAAUAUUGGACAUUGCGAAGGCAAACUUUCAUCCAAUUUCUCCAUUUUGCAGGGUAUAGUUUUUCACCAUGAGCAUGUAGUGGAUAAAAUCCCAAUUGAUUUUGUCGAAAGCCUUUCCAAUAUGGAGCAAACAAAGCCUUUUGUCUUUUUUUGCCCUCCCAAUAGUCAAUGACUUCGUUUGCAAUCAUGAUAGCAUCUGUUAUUUGUCUAUCUUUCACAAAAGCCAACUGGUUUUCUACAAUUGUUUCUACUAGAGUCUUCUUCAAACGAGAUGCCAAAGUUUUAGCAAUAAUAUUGUACAGGGAGAGGUGGUUAGGCUGAUUGGUCUGUAAUCCAAAAGUGACUUACAUUUGUCUUUUUUGUCAAUGAGAGUUAUGUAUGUAUUGUUAAUUAUUUAAACUUGCCAAUGAGAGCUAUGUAUCCGAUAAAGUUCUCUCUUAUAUUCAAGAGAAUUGAAUGUAUGUACAUAUUUACAUGGGCAAAUAUCAAUUUAGUUUUGCUAAUUGUAUCAAUUUAAAUAUGAACUCUCGGUUGUAUCAAUUUAGAAUGUAAACUAAUAAUUU